AUUGAACGCUGGCGGCAGGCUUAACACAUGCAAGUCGAACGAGAGGCGGACGGGUGAGUAAUGCUUGGGAAACUAGAUGAUGGAGGGGGAUAACUACGGGAAACUGUAGCUAAUACCGCGUACCAUAGGAUGAGCCCCAAUGGGAUUGGGUAGUUGGUGAGGUAAAGGCUCACCAAGCCGACGAUCGCUAGCUGGUCUGAGAGGAUGACCAGCCACACGGGGACUGAGACACGGCCCAGACUCCUACGUGAGGCAGCAGUGGGGAAUAUUGCGCAAUGGUGGCAACCUGAUGCAGCCAUGCCGCGUGAAUGAAGAAGUCCUUCGGGUUGUAAAGUUCUUUCGGUAGCGAGGCGUUAACUACAGAAGAAGCACCGGCUAACUCCGUGCCAGCAGCCGCGGUAAUUC
rnacentral:rRNA from 1 species